CACUUUGUGGUUCAUGACUGGGGUGAAGUCGUAACAAGGUAGCGCUAGGGGAACCUGGCGCUGGAUCACCUCCUUACACGA
rnacentral:rRNA from 1 species